GGAUCCAAUAGGGUAAAUUUCUAACAAUGGUGUGGAGCAAACUUAUGUCAUUGAAAUGGAUCUAAAAGGAGUUCAAAAUCAUAUUCAUAUGAUCCAUAUAUAUUUGGGGCUGCUUCAACUCAUAUGGGACAGAUUUGGUGCAACACUUGCAAUCAUAGGCUUAGGGAGCCUAAUCAAAUCUAUGGGCUAAAACUACACAAAGGGAAGCCUAAAGUGA
rnacentral:lncRNA from 1 species